UAUAAAAGAAUCUGUGGAACUUCUUAUAAAAACAAGAAAAGAGGCUGGGAUUUCCCCCACUAAUCCCUACAUUUUUGCCCGUCCGUUUUAUGGCUCACAAGAGAGCAUUCGUGGAUGUGAUAGCUUGAAGCGGUUUGCAGAAAGUUGUGGAGCUAAACAGCCGGAAAAUCUCACAUCAACAAAACUACGAAAGCAUGUAGCCACGAUUUCACAGCUCCUUAACCUGCAAAACCAUGAACUAGACCAACUGGCCACUUUUAUGGGACAUAAUAUUGAUGUGCAUAGGGAGUUUUACAGACUACCUGAAGAAACGCUCCAACUGACAAAAGUCAGUAGACUUCUUUAUGCUCUGCAAGGUGGAAUGGGUAAAUUCAAAGGAAAAUCCCUGGAAGACAUCACACCUAACAUCGACUCUGAAAAAGAAUCAAGUGAUUCAGAUGGAGAUGCACAAUGUGAGGCAACUGCUACCACAUGUCAAAAAGUGCUUUUUUCAGAAAUUUCAAAGGAUAGACCCUGCAAAGAGAGCACAGCUGAAUCAAAAAAGGCUACUGGGGGCAUUAAAAAAUCAUCAGUGCCAUUGCUUAAAAAGGGUGAGUUACUCCUUAUGUUCUGUUUCUUUUCAAUCUCCAUUAGUUUUUUCUUGUUUAAUACAAAGCUUAGCAAUGUUUUUUUUUUUACCUUGAAUUGCUGACAGUUUUUCAAGUGAGUUACUCAUUUCACUCUGUAUAAGGCAGAGGUAGGGAACCCCGGUCCUGGAGAGCCGCUAUCCAGAACAUUUUAGAGGUUUCCCUGCUUCAACACAGUUGAAUAACCUGUUCAGCAGCUCAUCAGACUCUACAGAAGCAUGUUAAUCACCUGCUGAUUGAAAUCAGGUUUGUUGAAGCAGGGAAACCUCUAAAACAUGCUGGAUAACGGCUCUCCAGAACCAGGGUUCCCUAACCUAUAUAGUAAUAAAUCUAAAUUGAAUAUCUUGACAUUUGUUGACCAGAUUGUGCGUGAUUUUUAUUAAUCCAUUUAUUACUUUCUCUUGUUAAUUUACUAACAGGGAAACCCAAGAAGCCCUGGUCAGAGACUGAGAGAGAAGUCAUUGACGAGCAUUUCAAGAACUUUCUAAAGGAAAUGAAAAUUCCAGGAAAAGCAGAGUGUCAAAGAUGCCUAAAUGACAAUCAGCUUCUGAGGGAUAAAGGAAGAGACUGGAAAGCAGUAAAAUAUUUUGUGCACAACAAAAUUACUGCUAUGAGGAGGUCUUUGUGCUAACAAUAACAAAACCAGUAAUCCUAAGUUCUUAAGAGAAAUCAGUGUACAAACAAUUGGUCAUUUUAUGUAAAUUCAAUUGGAUCCAUCAAAUGUGCCUUCUCAAUUUGCUAACACAUGUUACAGUUUUUAAUCAGUAAAAAUUCACAAUUUUUUAAAUCUAUAUUAAUAAUGCAUGUAUAUCCUUGGAGACUGUAGACAUUGUUGCGAUAGUUUAACACUAAGCUUUAAGAAGUUAAACAGUACUCUCCCUGAGUUAUCCUUUGAAUUCCAGAGAAACUGAUGACUCCUAUUACCUCAUGUAUUUUUCUUUACUUAUUAUUUUUAGUAACACAUUGUCUUCAUAUCUACAAUAGUUAAAUAUUGCUUCAGUUUUUUAUUUGCAUUUCACAGUUUAAAUAGCAGUGACAACAUUGCCAGUUUGUAAAGUAACACUGCACAUUAGCUGCAUAUAUUUUAAAUAUUUUCUUAUGCUUUCCGUUUUUUUUUUAAUUACCUACUCUCGAAUGUGUAUAUCACUCUAUUUUAACUGAGUGGAAACUUGUGUUAUUAUGUACCAGCCAACAGUGGACCGAUGUAAUUCCAUACAACCAAGUGUGGACCAUUUUUUGGUUGUAAAAACAAUAAAAUGCAUUAUGCAAAAUUUCGUUUUCAAUCUUUGACUCUUCCCAUGCUGAUACUUGUCUGUUUUUUAAAUAUUUUUUCUUGUCUUUUUCAAUGCAUGUUAAUUGAAGAGUAAUUGUGUCAUGGUGCAUGUGAGUUGAGCGGUUGUGAGGAUCCAAAUGCUGGGGAGGAAGCAGGCAGGCAGACAAACUGGAACAUGUAAAAGGUCUUUAAUGAUAAAUGCACGCAGGACAUGGAAACAAUGAACUGACAAGACAGACAGAACUAAGAGGGUUUAAAUUAGGGAUGAAGCAUUUUUGAUGAAUACGAGCAUGAAACGAGUAAAACUCGUAAAUAUCUGUAAUCAUGCUGAAGGAAAAUCUUCAUUGGGUAACUGACUGUCUUCAUGCUCUGUGAUUGGCCAGUCACAUAGAGUGCCCACCCCUCCCUACACACAAAACUGCAGCCGGCCGCCGGCUUCAUUCUUUUUUAAAUGACCAACUCUGGAAUGUGUAUAUUGCCCUAUGGUAACUGAGUGGGAACUUGUGUUAUUAUGUACCAACUGACAGUGGACCGAUGUCAUUCCAUACAGCCAAGUGUGGACCUUUAUUUUGGUUUUAAAAACAAUAAAAUGCAUUAUGCAGUUUUGCCUUUUCAAUCACUGACUCUUCCCAUGCUGAAACUUUGUCUGUUUUUUAAAUAUUUUCUUGUCUUUUCAAUGCAUGUUAAUUGAAGAGUAAUUGCAGAACAAACUUUCUCAAACAGCAGUUAUUCUGGUUUAGUUAUUGGACACUGUUUUUACAAAACAAAAUUAUAUUUAAUCACUACUAAAGAAGAAACAAAUUUGGGGAUUUCUGUGUGAAACAUUGCUUUUAAAAACAAGCCAAGGAGAUUAAGGGAUCCUAAAAGAGUGAACGGUAAAUUAGUUUUUAGUUAUUAAUGUAAAGACAGAAAGAAAAGGUCUUGAAUAUUUUCUUAUGUUUUCCAUUUAGCUUGAUUCAUUUUUAAAUGACCAACUCUGGAAUGUGUAUAUCGCCCUAUGUUAAUUGAGUGGGAGCUUGUGUUAUUAUUUACCAGCCGACAGUGGACCGAUGUCAUUCCAUACAGCCAAGUGUGGACCUUCUUUCUGUUGUAAAUCUAAACAAUAAAAUGCAUUAUGCAGUAUUGCCUUUUCAAUCACUAACUCUUCCCAUGCUGAUACUUGUCUGUUUUUUUAUUUUAUUUUUCUUGUCUUUUUAAAUGCAUGUUUAUUGAACAGUAAACCAUCUCAAACAGCAGUUAUUCUGGUUUAGUUAUUGGACACUUUCUUACCAAAAAUGCCUAAUUUUGUUUCAAUAUACUGAUUUGUUUGAUUUGUAGCCUGUUUGACAGUAAUUUUGCGGUCUGAAAGGCUGCCAGGGGCCUGGGUUAUGGGGAGUGUGAAAAGUGAUGUGUGUGAAUAGGUCAUUAAAAUCCCAUCUCCAGCCUGCAGGGGCGCUGGUGUACAUACACUUUAACACUCACACACUUUCAG